AGGUAUAUAGAGAUUCUGAAAGAACACAAGGCAAAACUGCUGUGGGAUGACCAGAUUGGUGAACAUUACUUUGAGUAUAAAAGGCACCAGGGCGGGAAGCGCAUUGUCUUUUAUCCAACAUUAAAGUCUAUACAGUUACGAUUAGAACUGGCCAAAGCGUUGGGCACUGGAAUCUCCAUCUGGGAACUGGGACAGGGACUGGAUUAUUUCUAUGAUUUACUGUGAACAUGGCAUUCCCACAAACAUGACCCUUUGGAACCUUGGAGCCCAUUUCCAGGAGACCAGAGGGUGACUAUAUCUGGUCUUUGUGCACAGGUGCUGAGGAGAAUUCGGAAGCUGAAGUGAAUUUUGAAGCUCUCAGAGCUAAAAGCCCAUUUCCCAAAACUUGGUUUAAAAUAAAAGUUUUGAGAGCAUUUCUAAUGAAGUUGGAGUUCAUUAGAACAUCUGGGUAGUUUUUUUUUCUGCCUUGGUUUCACUCACCAGUUUCUUGUGCUACACUAACACACAGUGGGAUCCUGGCUGGAGGAUGAUUUGAAAUGUUUUAUACAGCUGCACCAUGGCACCCAACUCAUAGUCAGUGUCUUGGCCUAUGAUGACAAGCAAAACAAGUGCCUUCUUCACUACCCUCUCCAUCUGUGUCACCAUUUUCAAGGAGCUAUGGCCUUACACUUUGAGGUGUCUCUGUAUAUCUCCUUUGGUGUUGCCUUCCUGUCAGAUUGAUCCAGUGUGGCCACUCUCCUAUGACCUCUCUCAUUAACAAAGUUCAAAGUAUAUUUAUUAGCAAAGUACAUACAUAUAUGUCACCAUAUACUACCCUGAGAUUCAUUUUCACAGAAACUACAAUGAAACACAAUAGAGUCAAUAAAAAACACACACAAGAUGGACAAAUAACUUGUGUGUAGAAGACAACAAACUGUGCAAAAACAAAAAGAAUAAUAAUAAUAAUAAUAAUAAAUAGGCAAUAAAUAUUGAGAAUAUAAGAUAAAGAGUCCUUGAAAGUUAGUCCAUUGAUUGUGGAAACAGUUAAGUGUAGGGGUGAGUGAAGUUAUCCCCCGUUCUUCAACAGCCUGGUGGUUGAGGGGUAAUAAUUAUUCCUGAACCUGGUGGCCCCUGAGUCCUGAGGCUCCUAUAGGGUUUCUUGAUGAUGGAUGCUGUUUAACUGCAACAGCACUCCUUGUAGAUGUGCUCAGAGGUGGGGAGGGCUUUUCCCGUGAAGGUCUGAGCUGUAUCCACAACUGUGUGGGCUUUUCAAGGGCAUUGUGUGUCCAUACCACGUUGUGAUGCAACCAGUCAGGAUACUCUCCACAGAGCAUCUAUAGAAGUUUGUCAAGGUUUUACAUGACUUGCUGAAUCUUCGCAAACUUCCAAGAAAGUAGAAGUGCUGCCGUGCUUUCUUUGUGAUGGUACUUACGUACUGGGUCCUCUGAAAUGAUAAUGCCAAGGAGUUUAAAACUAUUGACCCUCUCCACCUCCUGGAUCGCCAGUUUCCUCCUCCUGCUCUUUGGUUUUGCAGGGUGCUAAACACACAGCCUUGUGGUGCACCUGUGGUGGUGGUGGUGGACAUCGUGGAGGAGAUGCUGUUGCCAAUCCGAGUUGACUGGGGUCUGCAAAUGAGGAAUUGAGGAUCCAGUUGCACAAGGAGGAAGCAUGACAACAGGAUCAGAAGAUGCACUAAACUGAAGCAGCUGUGAGUAGUCGGGCUCCAGCUGACUUCACGACAAACUCCCGGGUGGACCUCCUGUGUUCUCCCAGUCUCUUCAAAGCAAGGGAAUUAAUUGCAGUCAAGAUUGCUUAAAGGUUAAUAGAUUUUUUUUCUCUCCUCCCACCUCAUCGUCAAAUCCACUGCACUCUCAUUUACUGAUCGGUGUCACUUACCCAAAGUAUUAACAGUUGGGCUGCAAUGCAAGAAAAUGGAUUUGUUAUUGGACUACACUUUUUACCUUCUGAUAAGUUUAAGGAGGUUUAACAUGUCAUCAAAAGCUCUGAGAAGAUUCUACAACGUAGAGUGUACAGUAUUCUGACUGUUGCGUCACGGCCGAGUCUGGAAGGAUCGCAAGGGCUAGAGAGAGUGAUGGACUCGGCCCGUUCCAUCCUGGGUGCAGCUCUGCCACUAUCGAGCACACCGACAAGGGCUGAUGCCUGAGGAAUUUCACACCCAUCAUCAGAGACCCACACCAUCUAGGCCACGCUGUCCUCAGGGCAGGAGCCAUAGGAGCCUGAAGACCUACACACCAAGGUUCGACCACAGCUUCUUUCCAUUACCAUCAGGUUCUUGGACUGACCUGAAAAUCCCUAAUUCUACCUCAGACUGUUUUUUUCCACUCUCAGUCUUGCACUAGUGUCCAUAUGUUAAUUGAUGUCAAUUUACGUUUGUCCUUGACUUGUGACAUACUGUGCUGCUUAUUUUCAUAGCAUUGAUACCUUUUGUAUGUAUGCCGAUGAAACAGUAAACUUGACCCUGAACUGUCCAAAUAACUCAGCUGCCUGUUUAAUGCUGGA